CUGGACACCAGAGCACAGCUAGGUCAGGGAGGGAGCUAGCCAGCCUUUAUAGACAGGUGAGAAAGGAGGGGAAGGCAGCCCAGUGUGUAGCUUCUCUUGCACACCUUGUGAUUUCUUCUUAGGAUAUGAUACAUUCUGCAUUCUUGUACAAUAGACAUGGAGAGGGGUGCUGGUAACGUGAAGAUGAGUAGCUGUUUGGAAGCUAUCUUUUUUAAUCUCCAGUUUAGUUUUACUCAUAUGGAAACUAACGCUGUGUAGUGUAAUGCUGUAGGUGCCACACUUUGUGUAUUUUGCUUGGCAAGGUUAUUACCGUUUUCUAUAAUGUGAUUUUCUAAUUUAUGUGAUUCAACUGCACUACAUACUGCAGGGAUAGCUGUGUGCCUCCAGAUGUCCCUAGACUCCAGCUCCCAUCAGUCCUAGCUACCAUGGGAUUAUGGAAGUUGUAAUCCAACAACAUAUAGAAAGCCACAGAUUAGGCACCCUUCGACAGUCAGAGAUGCUGUAGCUGCAAACUUCCUGCUCUGAGUUUGAUUAGAUGACCUCCAAGGUUACCUUUGAACACUAUUGUGCUCAAUAUUGUUCAAUAGUAUGAGAAGAGUGUGUCACUCAGUGCAUGCAGAAGCAAAUCUUUUUAAAAAAAUAAUAAUAUUUAUUACUUUUCCAAAAAAUUUAAACACUAAAAAAAAACAAAAAACAAUACAAUACAUUAAACAAAACAAAACAAAAACAAUAAAAUAAAUCAAAUAAUUUCAUUAUCCCAUCUUUCAUUCACUUAUUUCCACGACCUCCUCACACCUCCCUUUUUGUAUUCCACUUCUGUUAAUUAUUUCAGCAAUUCCUUUCCAUCUUCCUCUGUUUUCUAUCCUAUAAUUAUCUUAACUCAUUCUAACCUUAUUUUUCCUUUAAUACUCUAUUAAUCUAUUUAUACUUAAUUCCUUAUAACAUUUCUACUAAAGCCAUGUAACUUCAUUCCAACAUUUUUCUAACAUUCAUUAAUUUUACAGUAUUUCUGUAAAUAAUCUUUAGCAUACUAGCACCUUCACAAAAGUGUGUCUCCCAAAGCAUAUCUGAGUAUUGUAGAAAAUGUAGUUUUACUUCUUAAAACAGGUAGAGGAGAAGGACUCAAGAGGAAAUUGUGCAGAGUUGAGAAGAGCUAGGUAUUGGUGUCCUGGAAGUGAAUAACUUGCUGUAGAUCUAUAGGUAGCUCUACCUCUUUGGGAAGCGAAGCUAGCUCUACUAGAGCCUUUGAAACUUAUCCAUAUCCUGCUAUUUUGCUUUUCCUUUUGCCCACCUUGUUAUUAUCAGAAGAGUCUGCCAUGUGGCUCAGACCUACAUCAAAUUUCCUAAGAAGCUCAUCGAACCUCUCAGUUGGCACCUGACAGUGUGCCUGAGCUGCUUUAGGUUUGAAGGGUCUCAUAGUCAUGGGGUUGUGUAGCGUCUCUUGCAGACCUUUGUAUGCCAAGUGUAGCUGUUUAAAUUACUUUUGAGCAGGCAAACAUUUUAGUGAUUAUUUUGCACUUGCUUAUAUCCUGAUCACCAUGUAGAUAUUUUAGGAGUUGGUGGUAUAUGAAUAUACCUCUAUCUAUCGAUCUAUCUAUCCAUCUUCUAUCUCACCAAAAAUUGCAGAGCAUCAUGGGAAACAUUGGGACCUCUUUCUCCCCACCCAACAUGCUACUCAAGUGAUAAAACCACAAAUUUCAGGAAUUAAGAAGCAUUUAUCACUUCUGACCUUAGAAGCAGGGAAUAGUCAUUGUGGCUAGUAGCUUUUGCCAGCCUUCUCCUCCAUGAAUUUGUCUGAUCUUCUUUUAAACCCAUUGGCCUGAUCCAGCAGACUCUUCUGAUGUUCUUAGGGUGGGUUUGCCCAGAGGAAGGGCAACAGAGGUGACCAAGGGUCAUUGUGACUCAGAAUGUGACAAAUACUUGAAAGACUGCCUCCUUCCCUCUAAACUAAAAGGCCCCAACCUUUCCUCAUAAGGGACUUACUUCAACCCCUUGAUAAUUUUGGUUUUUCUUUUCUCCACCUUUUCCAGGUCUCAAAGACCUGUUUUGACGUAGAGAGGCCAGGACUGUGCACUGUAUAGUAUUCCAAAUGUGGAAUACUCCUUCCCGCAGAGGACGAGAAUUGAACUGCUCAAAUGGUUCUGUGACCAAAACAGCUCAUUGACCUCUGCCGGUGUGAUUUUAGGAGGGCCGCAGAGUCAUAAGUUACUUCUAACAUCUUCAUAUUCUUUUGGCAUCCAGGAUAACUUGAUGUUUCUUAUCUCGCUGGGGAUGACAAUUUUAUAAUGCCAGCAGUACUCAAGGGAUAAACACCUUGGUUGGUUUGUUGAGGAGCUAAUAUUCGUUCAGGUGGCUUUUGUCAUGCCACACUGCCUCAAAGUUGUGUUCCUUGUCCUCCUGGAUGUCUUUAUAGCAUUGGCAAGUGAGGUUCGGGACACACAGUGGGUGCCUCACAACACAGCCCCUCUCUCUUCCUGGGCCAUGACCUUCAACAGGAAGGAGUGAUGAAAAGACCACCUGUGCCCCAAGGCUCUUCAGCUCCAUGCCCAGAGUCUCAUAGUCCCUUGCUAUACAUUAAAGGCUGUGCAUGGCAGUAUCAUUUGUACCCACGAAUCUGAAGGAAGGGGUAGUGCUCAGUGAGCUUGAUAACACUUGGCAACUUCUCCGCCACAUCAUCAAUCUUUGCACCUGAAAGACAGCACACCUCCCAGGACAUCCUGUUUCCUCUGCACACUGGUGCCUCUGUUCCCCUCAGUUGGGAGACACCUAUCACCACCACUCGUCUCCUCCUCCUCUGAGAAGGGCAGGAAUCAUUCAAUGUGCUGUGCCUUCCAAAGCCUGCUUGGAGUGCUCUAAGUCUGCACUUGCUGCUCUUGAGUCUUCCCCUUUUGUCUAUUGGAGCUUAUUUUGAUAUUGUGGGGAUAAGUUACAAAGGCAGGAACUGUACGGUUUGAGUACUUCCUACAACUUCCUCUCGGCUGACCAUCUCCAGACUGCAAUUCUCUUUCUCCAACAUUGUCUCCAUGGAAGAUAGUAACAAACUCCAAAGGAAAAUUCAGAUGACUAUGUUUAAACAUGUAGGGAGCAUUUGUGUAGAUAAUGGUCAAACAGGGUGAACUGAUCACCCUAUUCUCACCCCUGUGCUGCUCUUCCACCUUCCAUGAUGACAUCAUCUGAUUCUGAUAUUCUCCUAGUCCCCUCCUCACAUUCUGCAGGGUUACCGUAGAGACAGCAAGAAACAACUUUGCAUCAUCACUAUUCCGUUGCCCACUUCUUACCGGACGUUGUUCAGUAAGCGUGCUAUCAUAUUAGAUAUUUGUGUUUUUUGUGUCAGCAUUCCUGUCAACAUGGCAGGUAGGAAAUUGUACCAUUUAGAUGUUCACCUGUUCUGCUUCAUUGUCCCAUGAAGCAGACAGAGAAGCCAGCUGAGAAGUUAAGGAUUUAUAGCUGGGGAUGGAUGAAAUCUUUGGACAACUUAGAGACAGUAACAUACAUGCAAGUGAGUGCUGUGAUAGACAGCAAGAGAAAAGGGAGAAAGGCAGAUUCCCUUAAAAGCCACCCCAGUUAGUCAAGGUCCCAGUACCCCUCAUGGGGCUUAGAUAAGCCAUGACUAAGGCCCAUUCAAUGGCCUUCAGUGGGACUUACUCUUGAAUAUAUAUUUCACUAGAUGUGCCAAUAAAAUCUGAGGCUCCUUCAAAAACAUAUAUUUAUUUUCAGUACUACUAUUUAUCUACAUUGCAUUUUGUAGAACAAUGUACAUCGCACUUGUCCAAAGCAGCUUACAAACCAAGAGUUUCUAGGGAGCAACAACACAAAACAUCAGUUUGGGAGGAAAAGCAGUAGAUAAAUCCGUAAAUAUCCAUUAAUGAUCCACAUUGAUUCAGAACCAAAAGCAUGUGAGAGUGUGAGAGUGUGAAAUAGCAAUUGUUCUUUAGAUAAAUGAUGAUUUUUGUCACCAAAUUAUAGAAACAGGUGAGCUUAACAGGUGUAAGGUUUAGCCGGUGCCUAAAUCUUUAGCCAGGGUGGGCCUCUACCAUCACGGAACCUUAGGCCCCAUUCCACUGGAACAGAGGAACCCCACUGUCCAGAUUGGGAGCCCUGUCCCUAUGCCAUCAGCCGCAAACAAGGAAAUGCUUCUGGUCCUCCAGCAGGUAGGACCCCAAACCACCCUGGGACCUCCUCGUACAGGAGUGGUUACAAACAGAAGUGAACAAAAUUCAGGCCUCUUUGCAGAGGAUAUAAUUUUAUGCACCUCUGACCCUAUCACAGCAGGCAAAGUACUAUGUACAGAGUUGGAACAGUUCUCCAGGGUCUCAGGAUUGCAAAAAAAACUUUUAAGAAAGCAGAGGUAAUGCUUUUUCAUACACCACCCCAUUCAUUUACAACAGACUUUUACAGCAAGGUUGAAGGUUCCAAUAGCUAGGAAAAGUUUUAGAUAUCUGGGGGUGCAAAUCACCCAAAAUUUGAACAAACAAGUUGUAUCAGUUUAAUUACACCACAUAACAGAAAACUAAAAUGUUAUCUUAAAGAUUUCAAAAUAAAACAUCACAAAGGAGGUCAACUACAGAACACAUAUUUAACAUAGCAGAGCUGGUGAGUCUGGACCCGGCCCCCUAGGCGAGGUGGAAAGGGCCUUGCAGGGAGCGGCCUUCAUGCCCCACAGCUGGGCAGUGUUCCUCGUUUAUGCACGUUUAUUUACAUCCAGUGGUUCCAGGCCUGCCGCCAUUAGCUAUGAGUUGAGUCUGAGUCCCCACCCCUGUCACAGCACAAUGGGCACCAAAGUCCUUCCUCUUUUACACUUCCAUUGUACUUUAACCCUUUCAGCUCUUCUGAUUUGGGGAGAAGGUGGGUGGAAAUCUCUCUCCCCCCCCCCCCCGCUCUCAAACAAAGAGCCCUCUGAACACCAAAGAAGUGUGCAUGCACACGGAAGCUCAUACCAAUAACAAACUUAGUUGGUCUCUAAGGUGCUACUGGAAGUAUUUUUUUUAUUUUCUCUGAACACUGUUUCUCUACUGGUUGCAUAGCAACCCCCUGAAUGUCGUCUUAUCUCUUCUCCUCCCCCUGCCUGUGAACUGUCUUGAGUGCUGCUCUAUCUGAGCUAACCCCCUCCUGCUCUGUCUGCACUCUUUCGUCUCCAGGGUCAGACUCUGGUUCUCUCUGUACUGGCAGUCCUUCAUCUCCAGAGCUUGACUCUUCCCAGGCAUUCAUUUUAGCUAUGUCUCUGACACUAAGUCAUGACAAGACUUGGUAAUCCCAGUCUAAGAGUCAUGACGUCAACUUCAUGGUCAUUUUUGUUUUCUCCGGUUAUGGCCUCUUUCCCUUUCCUGCUUUAGUUGCACAGGUGAUUCCAACAAAUCAGGGACCACAACAUAUUUUAAACUGGCACAGCAUUUCUCAUAGUUAUCUGUUUCUUCAGGUAAGGAUUUCUGACAUCUUUGGUUUUUUCUCCCCACUCCUUUACUGGCUUUGUUUGGCCAAUAAAUUAUACUUUCAGCUUCUACUGUAUUCUGCCUGACCUUCCUCUGUGUAGCUGGCCUAAGCACUUCACUAUUCCUUUUCUGCUUUGCCUUCUGAAACAGGGCUGUCAGUUGCUAAAUGCUUUUUGUACUCACUUUACAGUUUACAGUUUACUUGCUUUUAACUGAUUCCAUCCAUCAAGUUAAUAUUGCAAGAUUUCAAUCCACCUGAUUAUUCUGAGGAUAUUUAGAGUUUCUCUCAGUUUUGUACUAUGGAAAUUCCUCCCAGUGGCUUCACAGCCUAUUCAUAUAUAUUUGUCAAAUAACUGUCUUGUUUUUGUUUUGUUUUUGGUUUUUUCUUUACUAAAAAUUGAUUACCUAACAAAUCUGCCAGAAGCUGGUCAAAAUAUUGGGUUAGAUCCUGGAGAAAUAAAGUGUCCCCACAAGGGUUGAAUGGCACAAGCUUACUACUCUGUCUCACUCUGGCCAGUGCCUGCAUGGAAUUAUUCCAGGCUCCCAUUAUAAGGCAUGCUGAAUUUUCUUAAAGUAGAAUGGAAUGUACAUGUAAUAACAGAGUGCAAAUAUUCUCUGAAAAUUAAGCUAUGCAAAUAUUCUUAUUUCCCAAUCCUGUUCAGUGCCAUUAUUUCUCUUAACUACUACCCUACCUCCCCAUAGCAAUUACUGAAUCAUCCUGUCUGAAUUGAUCACAUGAGAUAGGUGAUCUUACCCAACUAGGGAUUCUUAUGUAUUAAUUCAAAUAUCUAUGCUUUCCACUUUAUUUCUAAAGCAUCCAUACCCUAUACAGAUUUCCUCAACCUGGUGCUCUCCAGGUGUUUUGGAUAACAACUCCUGUCAUCCCUGAUAGAAUAUACCAGUGUGCUUGAUGGGAGUGAUAAUGUCACCAAACCAUGGUAACUUGGUUCUUUUGAAAUCCAGAGAGACAAGUGAGAUCCCAUAUGCUAUAGGGCUUUCAAUAAGACACGUCGGAGACCAGACCUGAGUUUACACACCUUUCAUGUAACAUUUAUUUCAUAUAGUCAAGUAUACAUUAAUACAUUGGUACCAAGAGAUUCGAACACUCAUGCAUUCACACAAAAACUCACACAAGGCCCUUCAUGUGGGUUGAUCAAGCAUCACGUAAGAGCUGUGGGUGUCUGGUUGUAGCGCUGGUCCUGGCAACACUGAGGGUAAGCAGAGUGCCCUUUUUAUAGUCUUCCCCCUUGGCGUCUAUGGGCUGGCUUUUAGAACGACUAAGUUUCCACCACUCUCCUCCUGUUCUCCUUCUGGACCACCACAUCACCUUUGCUGUUGUACCUCAGAAAUACAUACGUGUUUCAGGCCUUUAUCAUCUGUCCGUGGCCCACUGCCAGUUCCUCCUUGUCUUUGUUCUUUUCAGAGGAUAUUUAUUACUGUUGUUCAUCGCCAGUGACGUCCUGUUUUUAUCAGGGGAUUUUUGCAUCAGGGUUUUUUUUUGCUUUCAUUAAGCAAAACCAAUGUUCUUUUGAACACAGUUAUACAUUUUUUCCUUGAUAUAACCAGUUUCUCGCUUCGCCUGCCAGCAUAUCAUGCGAAUUCGCCAUCUUCCUUGAACCCAACAUUCAUACAUGACAAUAGUUCAAAACAUCUGGAAGCCAAUGGUAAAGAAGGCUAUGCCAAUCUGUGUAACCAAUCAGGUUUUAUAAUGCAAUGAUGUAAUCAAAGGCAAACAAAUGAUGAUGAGAUGUCAGUGUUAUAUAUGUGGGAUUUGCAGCCAAAAUCACAAAUGCACAUUUUGCUAGGCAAGCAUAGGGCUAGUUCUUGAACUUCCAAGAGGGGACCUUUUGCAUGUGGUCACAUCCUUUGCCACCUCUGCUCGCCCUUGCCCUCACAGCUCACCCUCCCCACCUGCUGCAGUGCUUUUCCACCUGCCAUGCAAAAUCGGGGCACCCCGGAAUAAAGGCAGAGCCCAGGUUGCCUUAAAAAAGUGAGGCUGUCCCUCUUAAAACAAGGUGCUUGGCAGGUGUGUGUUAAAUCCAAAGCUGAUAAAUUGAUGCUGGAUUAUUGCAAUGUGUGCUAUAUGAGACUGUCCUUAGGCUUUGUUCAAAAGUUCCAGCUCAUGCAGAAUGUAGCAGCCAGACUGAUGAUGGGGGCACAUGACUAACAACAUGUGGCACCUUUACUGUCAUCAGCUCAAGCCUGUGGAAUGCUCUGUCACUAGAGAUUCAGUAAGUCUUUUCUGUUUUAACCUUUAAACACCUGCUGAAAACUUUUGUGGUCCACCAAGUUUAGGCAAGCAAUUGAGAAAAUAUUUUUCUGUAACAGUUAGUUAAUGGUCUCUGGUUUUAAUUUUUAAAUGCAUUUUUAAUAUAGAUAUUGUAAAACACUUUGGUAUUCAUUAUGAUAUAGCCAUAUUUACACAUUUUUAUAGAUAAAUAAGUAGUCUUUGGUCCCAAACAAAAAGUGCUUCCCCCUGCUGGAAUGUAUUAUUAAGAAGAGAAGCUCUAAUAUAGGUGUUAGGGCCAGAGUCAGAUCAGCACUAAAGAAAUAAGUCACUGAUGCCAGUGAAAUUAAGGUUUCUAGUGGUUGUGGCUUUUCAGGGGCAUCUAAUUAUUAUUAUUAUUAUUAUUAUUAUUAUUAUUAUUAUUACUAUUAUUUAUACCCCGCCCUCCCCAGCCUAGGCCGGGCUCAGGGCGGCUAACAAGCAAUAAUAAAAACAAGUUGAAUGAAUACAACUUAAAAACAAGAUUAAAAUACAACAAUUAAGAUAUUGAAACAUUAAAAUAUUAAAAUGCAGCCUCAUCACAGGAGGAGAAAGGAAAAAGGAAAAAGAUAGAGGGGGAGGGAAUCAAAUUGGCUCCAAGCCAAAGGCCAGACGGAACAACUCUGUCUUACAGGCCCUGCGGAAAGUAAUCAGAUCCAGAUCAGAUCUGGCUGAUCACAAUGGGAAAAUAAGUUACUGGACCAGAUGGACCUUUGGUUUGAUCCAGAGGUGGUUUUUCUUACAAUGUUCUCUCUCUCUCUCUCUCUCUCUCUCUCUCUCUGUGUGUGUGUGUGUGUGUGUGGUGUGUACAUGCACACAUACAAGCACACAGGACAAAGUUCCUCAGUCCUCCCAAUCUUUUUCUCCCAUAUCCUUGUGAGGCACCCAUUCACUCACAAUGCUCUGGCACCAGGCUACUUUUUCACAGUUAUAAACACAAGCCGUUCUAUUAAUUUCAGAUGAUGCAUUUUCUAUGCCUAGCUAUGAAUAAACCAGAUCAAUGCCAGUAACAUGCUUUAUUGGUCCUCCCAUGAAAUGAAUUUGUAGAGAGACAGGCCACGAGAUGGAGUCGACAUGCAGAUGAGAUUGGUAAGUGAGAGUGUAUUGAUUAUUUUCACCCCAGGCCAGGCAGUAAUUCCAACUGGUGCCAGUAUUUCCUCUUGCUUUGGUUCAUUAUUUAUGCGAUAAAAACACUAUCCCAAUGAUAACAACACGUUUCAUUUCCAACCCCAAGCAUAAAGCAUCGACACUUAAGAUUGUGAGAGGUGAGCAGGAGGGUGGGGAAAAGGGGGGUGGCAGAGAUUUUUAAAAAAAAAACACACAAGAAAACAAGUGCUAGAGAAACUGAAAACUGCUGAGCCUGGUCUUGUGGCUUUUUAUGCCCUCCAAAAGGAAGAUUGAGAGCAGGUGUUAGAUUACCAGGCUCUUUAUUAAUAACUCAAGGCUUCUAAAAGAGGUGGAUUGAUGGCACACUCAGUGCUUAGCCAGUGAAUAAAACCCUAGGUUCAGCAUGCGACUCAAAUCCAACUCAAACACUUUGCUCCAUCAACUGCCUGCCUCUCCUCAACAAAAAGAAGCCCUCUUGAGGAAGAAAAGGGAUCCAGCAAAUAAAAUUGGACUCUUCUUCCACAUGAGCAUUCAUAAUAAAUAAAUAAAUAAAUAAAUGUCAAGGCUUUGCUUAAAAGCCGGAGAGAUUUCCUUUGUCAGACUGCAGGAACACUUGGGAAACAAGUGUUCUCUGGUGUCACCCACCAUCAGCUUGCUUUGCAAGAAAGUCCAAACUUUCUGGCUCCUUUGAUGAAAUAACUGAAGGUUGUUUUAGAACAGAGAUAGCCAACAUUGUGCCUUCCAGAUGUUGUUGAACUCCAGCCCUCAUCAGCCCCAGACAGCAUAGCCCAAGGUCAGGGAAGAUGGGGGUUGGAGUUCAAUAAAAUCUGGAGGUCACAAUGUUGAAAUGCCUAGUGCUUGGUUUAGACCAGGGAUAGCCAACAUGAAGCCCUUCAGAUAGCGUUGGACUGUAACUCCCAUCAUUGCUGACUGUUGGCCAUGCUGGCCUAGGUUGAUGGAGUUUGGAGGGCACCAUGUUUCUAUCCCUGGUUUAAGACAAGCUCCAGGCAUUUCUUCAAAAGAGGCAUCUUGUGAAAAGACUUUCUCUUUUCCAUAACCCAAGCGCACUGGGGGAACUUGAGGGGGGCAGCAUUAAAGCAAAAACCUGUAACAAAAUACAUACUUCACAUCACCUUUAUGAGAGAAAAAAAAACUGAGAUGCAUAUCCUUCUUAAAUAUCUUAACCAGCUGCCAACACCACUUCUCUUUCUGAUUCCUUUUUCCCUAGCUGUGGAAAUUAAUCUGAAGCAGUGGCGGACUUUGAACUCUCAAAUUUGAGUGGCACCCUGUGCAAUACUAAAAUUCAGCGACCCCCACCCCCACCUCUUGCACUCUGUUGUACAUCAUUGCUGCAGCGUCUCCUGUGGUGCUGGUGCAAAUAUGUAAGACCAAACCAGUUGCUCUACCCUGAAACUACCUCUGUCUGAAGGUAGGAUAGUCCUCUUAGCACUCCUUCGGUCUGUUCAGGUCAGAGCCCAAUCUGUAGCUUCCUCUGAACUCCUCUUAUAAGCUCAAAGCAAGUUAGGUAAGUAGGUGAGACAGACCCUGAGAUAGCAUAAUACUUAGUUAGAUAAAGACUUCUAAAGUCAAGCCUUUUAUUAAAGGGAUUGUAAUAAAGCAAGUAAGAGAUAUAGACGGUAACAGUAAAAACAAAACAAAAAAGCAGUGAUUAUAAAGUAGCCCUUACACUUGAUUUGGUCCUAAGCUUAGCUUCAGUAAGUUUUAUACAACAAUGUGCCAAUAGCAUGGGUUCCAUCAUGGAAGGGAACAAGGAAGUUUCUCUAAGAUUGUUCAAACUGUCCAUGUUUAUGUUGUUUUCCAAGCUGCGAGUGAUGAGUCACCCUCAGUCAUAUGAAGCUCUGGGAUUCUUAGGUUCCACAUGUGCACAUGGAUGGCAAUAUUUAGCAUGUUUGUUUGUUUAUUACAUUUGUGUAUCAUCAUAUACCUGUAGAUCUCAGGGCUGUUCACAUCAUCAUCAUCAUCAUCAUCAUCAUCACCAUCAUUUAUUUAUUUAUAUGCCACUCAUCUGACUUGGUUACCCCAGGGGCAUCUUCCAACAAAUUAAAGCACAGUAAGACACCAAAUAUUAGAAGAAGAAGAAAAAGAGUUUGGAUUUGAUAUCCCGACUUUCACUCCCUUUAAGUAGUCUCAAAGCGGCUAACAUUCUCCUUUCCCUUCCUCCCCCACAACAAACACUCUGUGAGGUGAGUGGGGCUGAGAGACUUCAGAGAAGUGUGACUAGCCCAAGGUCACCCAGCAGCUGCAUGUGGAGGAGAGGAGACGAGACGCGAACCCGGAUUCCCCAGAUUACGAGACUACCGCUCUUAACCACUACACCACACUGGCUUAAAAACUUCCCUAUACAGGGCUGCUUUCAGAUGUCUUCAAAAAGUCAGAUAGUUGUUUAUUUCCUUGACAUCUGAUGGGAGGGCGUUCCACAGAGCUGGUAUGACUACCGAGAAGGCCCUCUGCUUGGUUCCCUGUAAUUUUUCAGUGAGGGAACCACCAGAAGGCCCUGGGGAGUGGAUCUCAGUGUCCAGGCUAAAUGAUAGGGGUGGAGAUACUCCUUCAGGUAUGCAGAGCCAAAGCCAUAAGGUAGGGUUUGCCAUAUGUCCAUUUCCCCCCAAAUACAUCCUCUUUGGGGGGAAUAAAAUUUGUGUCUGGGUGGAUUUUUAAAAUCUGGCAAAUAUCUAGGCUUUCUGUUCUUGCAGAGCACAUGGACCUCAAGCGAGCUUUUGCCAUAUGUGUAAUCACAGAGAUUUCCCAACCUGGCUGCGUAUAGUUACUUUUGCAACGUUGCCAGUUGCCGGUGCAUGCAUCUGGAGCUGGUUCAGGCUCACUGCCUCCUCCACUGACCAACCCAGAAAAGGGAAAGCAGUAAGCAUCGUGAGAUUUGGGCUGUCUCACACGGGGACGGGUGUGUGUGUAUGAAAUUUAAAUUAGAAACCUAGCAGAGUUUCCUGUUGCUUCCACAGUAGCCAGAACUGGGAAUGUUUGCAAGAAGACACAGGUGAGCGGCAGUUAAAAGAGGACAAGGGGAGUUUAUUUUCUCUCUCUCUUUCCGUUUGCCUUCCCUGUUUCUAUGUUUGCUGAGAAAAAUGCUUGGUGUGGGGGUUAUAGCAAGUGAAGGGACUGUGUGUGAAGAGGAAGGAUUUGCUGGGGUAAGUGCAAAUGUUCAUUCAUUCCUAGAAAUUGAUAGAAGAUUCAAGAAGCAGCGAAGUACUGAUUGUUUUGUCUAUCCAAGGACAUUUUCUAUGGAAACCGUUUUCUGGACAUGCACAGUUUCUGCAGAACACAGUGAUCUGUUUCUCAGUCUGUUUUAUCUCUCCAAGCUGACAACACGGAGAGAAAGAAAUUUUGCACCUUGGAACUUUAAGUGUACCUUCACCAGCGGCUGCGGUGAAAGCCUGUGUAUAUAGCUGAAACCAUUUACGUGUUUAUGACCAGCAA